CCCUUAGAUGUUCUGGGCCGCACGCGCGCUACACUGAUGCAUUCAACGAGUCUAAAACCUGCUCUGAUAGGGGUGGGUAAUCUUUUGAAUGUGCAUCGUGAUUGGGAUAGAUGAUUGCAAUUUUUCAUCUUCAACGAGGAAUGCCUAGUAAACGCAAGUCAUCAGCUUGCAUUGAUUACGUCCCUGCCCUUUGUACACACCGCCCGUCGCUCCUACCGAUUGAAUGAUCCGAUGAAUAUCAUGGAUUGAGGAUGCAAGUAGGUUCGCCUAUCUUCAUCUUCGAGAAGUGAAGUAAAUCUUAUCAUUUAGAGGAAGGAGAAGUCGUAACG
rnacentral:rRNA from 1 species